CCCAUGCUCCCCUAGGGAAUUAAUUAAGAAAACCCUUUACAAUUACCUUUCGUCCCUUAGUAUUUAGUUUAGUAAUAGACAAGUAGCCAGUUAAGGUACCAACUGUUGGCGAGAAUGGAAUCUCGCCAUUGAUAGGACUGAUUUAUGAUUGAAUCCGAAAAUGAUUCAUCCCGAAAUCGAGAUCGACUGGAUGCUGAAACCAAGAUGUCUUCAUUUUCAUGUCGAGACCACACAUUCUCAAAAGCCAUUCGAAACCGAGAAGACUUUAAUCUCGGUUUGAGUAAGAGUCGGUCUUGCCUAACUUUUCAGAUCGAAAACAGUGUAAGCAGAGUUAAAAUAUGAUUUUGUUGGAUCGCGGGUCCAACCACUAAAAUAUCGGUCAGCAAUAGAUUCAAGGCUAUUUUCGCGGAGGUGUCGAGGACAGCAAUUAGUUUUCUUGUCGAGCUUAGAGGUUGAUUAAUAUUUAUGCCAGACGCGGUUUCCAUAUUCCAUAAUAUGGCGAUUCUUCAUUAUGCCCGUUACUAGUAGAGUAAAAGGGUAUAAUUGAUUUGUCGGAUAGUAUGUAUAGACCCUAUAAAGUACAUUUAUUUUUGCUCAGGAUCACAGCCGAGUCGAUCUAGCCAUGACCGCCUGUCCGUCCGUAUGAACACUGAGGUUUUGGAACCAAUGAAAGCUAUAAUUCGGCAUGCAGAUUCUUCGGGUUCUAAGACAGCGAAUGUUUAUUUUAGCAGGUUGCCACACUCGGGAAACAUUUUUUUUGCACAUCCUGUAAAAUUCAUUUUACAAAAACCGUGCUAGGAUCUUUUUCAUAUCCAGGGACUCCAUAACUUUUAUUUAAAAAAACAGACUUAAAGGCUUAUUCAGUCCAACAGAGUGACUAGUUAAGUAGACAAUGCAAGCCAGAUCUCAAUGAUACCCUUUGGCCUGUGAGAAAAUCAUAGAACAUCCGUGUGCUAAUCAAAGGGUGGAAUAUUACACGUGCGACUGAGCGAGAAAGAAGAUUUAUGUCUGUAGAGACUUUGAAAAGUUGGAUCGUAGGUUUAUAUUAGUCAUUGCUAUAAGAACUUAAUUUUCCUUUCCCCUGUGUUUCCUAAAGGUACACUUUUUUAAAUUUCUUAACGCUUUAAAUUUAUAGUGGUUCUAACUUUUAUUUGUAUCCAUGUGGAUACUCACAUUAUAUGUUUAAAUUCAAUUAAUAUGGUGAUAUGUGCAGCAGAGAUCACGUUUAUACAUAUACAUAUGUUAGUAAUAGGCUUAAUACUAAAGUUGUUCGUAAAGUCAUGUAAGUACAAUAGAAAAUGUGUUUAUUGAAAUAAAAAACUUAUGAACCGUGUGCAAUACAAUUAUUGGCUGCUUUAAUAGACGUCAUCGGAACGUUGAUUUCACGGAACUAUUAGAUCCUAACAUCGAUCCUAACAUUGACUUUUAUGGGCAUAAUAUUAGAUGAAGGCUUAAAAAGUGGUAUUUUAAGCAAAACCCAUAUACUUGAAGCCAUAGAAACAUUCAUCCAGUAAACUUUAAACUGGCUACUCUUCACAAGCACCAUAGAUAUACUUUUAAAUUUGUUUUUUUGUCAAUAAGUCCUGAGUACUAGUUAACUUUCAAUACCUAAGAAUUCUAAGCGUCCUCACAUUUUUGCGCCAUACACUGAUCAUUAUUAGUUUAUACGGAUAAGUUAGUAAAUUGCACAAACCAUAUACUGAUCAUUUUUAGUUUAUACGGAUAAUCAGACAUUAUUUUACAGACAACUAGAAGAUUUUCAGAAGACUACGUUUCUUUAUAAUAAAACUAUUCAAAUUAAAAGAAAGUUGUCAAAAUGCCAUUUUAAAACGAAAUAUGGAUUCAAAAGAAGAAAAAUAUAUAAAUGUGAAACAAUUUACCUUGAAUACAAUAAAAAAUGCAAAUAAGGACAGUAGGGAUAUUCAAAAUGUCAUUUUGAAACGAAAUAUGGUUUUAAAAAGGUGGAAAAUAUACAAAUCUGGGACUACUUACCUUGAAUACAACAAAAAAUGCAAAUAAGGAUAGACACAAAGAUAAAUUAAAUAAUAUUCUUGACCCUACUAUACUUAACUAUAGCAAAGCUUUUGACACCGAUGAUCUCUCGAUACUUUGUACCAAACUAAGUAAAAUAUUUAGGCACGGCAACAAAUCUAAUGGCAUCAUAUCUUGGGACCGAUUUCAAACUAUUUGGUAUUUUUUUCAGUUAAAAGUGGUGUGCCGCUUCUAUUUUUGUUGUAUAUAAAAGUCUGAAAUAGACAUAAGCAAUUAUGUCAAAAAAUUCAAAUUAAAAAAAAAUGCUCUAAUUGAGUUGAGUUAGUUUGAAUUUGUAGGCACACUAGAUUGAGUAAGUCUGUAACGUACGACUCAGUCAUACCAGAAAAAGAUAUGUAAAACGAAGCGAGUAAAGAAGACCACGAACAUGUAGAUGUGUUUCAAUAUAUUGCAUCCAGAUGCAUGCCCAAAUGGAAAUUCGGGAAUGCAUUUUGAAACAAAUAGUUUUGGGUCGUAUCAUUAUUACGCAAAACAACACGCAUGCAAUUUUACUAAGACAAAUGUGCGUGCUAGGUGCAGAAUAUUGCGGUGACUUCUAGAUGUCAAUAUAGUGCAUCCAGGUUUAUUUUGCUGGAAAUGUAAAAGAACAAAUAGAAACCCGAAGGUUGCCGAUGCCCGUUUUUACGAUCGUUUUUUCGGUACUGCUCUCUUGACAAAAGGAAACAUGCAAGUUCGCGAGCGGUUUUUUCUUGUCUUUUGCAUUUCUUGUCAGUUGCAUUUUUAAUUCUGAAAAGUGGCGUUCACGCCAAGUGUUUUGAAAUAGUUUGUUGGUUUCUGCCACCAAUUUUACAUCAAUAUUUUCACAGAAUCGCAGAAAAGGGAUGGGCACACCAAGGACUGAACUGCGUAAAUGAUAAAAGUACAUAAAUAAGAAGGAAGCAGAAAAGCAGAAGGGGAGAGAUUCCGAUCAAAAAUUAGUUGCGUUCUUUAAUAUUGAAAUAAAAAAAAAUAUGAAAUGAAA